rnacentral:lncRNA from 1 species
GGCUUUUAAUUUCAGUCUAAUUCAAGUCAGCAGCAUAGGGCAGCUCCUGGGAAAUUGGUUUACACAUGCGGACAAGCCCAGUAGCCCAGAGCUAACCCACUCACCAUCCCUGACCACAGAGGAGCAGAUAAGGAAGCAAGAUUUGUCGGCCAGAGCUAUGACAAGUUCCACUGUGGAUGGCAAGGAAAUGAGGGGGGCAGCAACCUGUUAAUGAGACUCAAGAGUGUCAAGACCCAUUUUUGUUAUCUGGAUUUUCAAGGCCGAGUUCAAACAUGAGGAUCCUGGAAAGGUUGGCAGACGUCUGCGGAAGCUACCUUCUCUGUU